CGUGAGGGAGGAGGCUCUUGGGUUGUAAACCUCUUUUAUCAGGGAAGAAGAUCUGACGGUACCUGAUGAAUCAGCAUCGGCUAACUCCGUGCCAGCAGCCGCGGUAAUACGGAGGAUGCAAGCGUUAUCCGGAUUUAUUGGGCGUAAAGCGUCCGCAGGUGGUUUUUCAAGUCUGCUGUUAAAGCGCAGAGCUUAACUCUGUAACGGCGGUGGAAACUGAGAGACUAGAGUAUGGUAGGGGUAGCGGGAAUUCCCAGUGUAGCGGUGAAAUGCGUAGAUAUUGGGAAGAACACCAGCGGCGAAAGCGCGCUACUGGGCCAUAACUGACACUCAUGGACGAAAGCUAGGGGAGCGAAAGGGAUUAGAUACCCCCUGUAAACGAUGGGUACUAGGUGUU
rnacentral:rRNA from 1 species